rnacentral:tRNA from 1 species
AUGAUGUUAGCUCAGUAAGGUAGAGCACAUGAUUGAUAGUCAUGCUGUCGCCGGUUCGACUCCGGCACAUC